UUGUUGGUGAGGUAAUGGCUCACCAAGGCGACGAUCCGUAGCUGGUUUGAGAGAAUGAUCAGCCACACUGGAACUGAGACACGGUCCAGACUCCUACGGGAGGCAGCAGUGGGGAAUAUUGCACAAUGGAGGAAACUCUGAUGCAGCCAUGCCGCGUGUGUGAAGAAGGCCUUCGGGUUGUAAAGCACUUUCAGUUGUGAGGAAAGGAUGGCGGUUAAUACCCGUUAUCUGUGACGUUAGCAACAGAAGAAGGACCGGCUAACUCCGUGCCAGCAGCCGCGGUAAUACGGAGGGUCCGAGCGUUAAUCGGAAUUACUGGGCGUAAAGCGCACGCAGGCGGUUUGUUAAGCUAGAUGUGAAAGCCCCGGGCUCAACCUGGGAAUAGCAUUUAGAACUGGCAGACUAGAGUCUUGGAGAGGGGAGUGGAAUUCCAGGUGUAGCGGUGAAAUGCGUAGAUAUCUGGAGGAACAUCAGUGGCGAAGGCGACUCCCUGGCCAAAGACUGACGCUCAUGUGCGAAAGUGUGGGUAGCGAACAGGAUUAGAUACCCUGGUAGUCCACACCGUAAACGCUGUCUACUAGCUGUUUGUGGGUUUAACCCGUGAGUAGCGUAGCUAACGCGAUAAGUAGACCGCCUGGGGAGUACGGCCGCAAGGUUAAAACUCAAAUGAAUUGACGGGGGCCCGCACAAGCGGUGGAGCAUGUGGUUUAAUUCGAUGCAACGCGAAGAACCUUACCUACUCUUGACAUACUAGAAACUUUUCAGAGAUGAAUUGGUGCCUUCGGGAAUCUAGAUACAGGUGCUGCAUGGCUGUCGUCA
rnacentral:rRNA from 1 species